rnacentral:rRNA from 1 species
UACGUAGGGCGCAAGCGUUAUCCGGAAUUAUUGGGCGUAAAGAGCUCGUAGGCGGUCUGUCGCGUCGGAUGUGAAAACCCAGGGCUCAACCCUGGGCCUGCAUUCGAUACGGGCAGACUAGAGUUCGGUAGGGGAGACUGGAAUUCCUGGUGUAGCGGUGAAAUGCGCAGAUAUCAGGAGGAACACCGGUGGCGAAGGCGGGUCUCUGGGCCGACACUGACGCUGAUGCGCGAAAGCCAGGGGAGCGAACGGG